UACGAAGGGGGCUAGCGUUGUUCGGCAUCACUGGGCGAAAAGCGCACGUCGGCGGAUUUGUAAGUCAGGGGUGAAAUCCCGGGGCUCAACCUCGGAACUGCCUUUGAUACUGCAAGUCUUGAGUUCGGGAGAGGUGAGUGGAAUUCCUAGUGUAGAGGUGAAAUUCGUAGAUAUUAGGAAGAACACCAGUGGCGAAGGCGGCUCACUGGCCCGAUACUGACGCUGAGGUGCGAAAGCGUGGGGAGCACACAGG
rnacentral:rRNA from 1 species